UACAGAGGUCUCAAGCGUUGUUCGGAUUCAUUGGGCGUAAAGGGUGCGUAGGCGGCGCGGUAAGUCGGGUGUGAAAUCUCGGAGCUUAACUCCAGAACUGCCUUUGAUACUGAAGAUCUUGAGUUCGGGAGAGGUGAGUGGAACUGCGAGUGUAGAGGUGAAAUUCGUAGAUAUUCGCAAGAACACCAGUGGCGAAGGCGGCUCACUGGCCCGAUACUGACGCUGAGGCACGAAAGCGUGGGGAGCAAACAGG
rnacentral:rRNA from 1 species